AUCCCUUGGACUUCCUGGACAGAUUGUAAACACAUUUAGUAUUAAUGUAAAUGUUCAUACCGCAGUUAUCCAAAGGUUUGAAAUGUAAUAUGUUGGCGAUGAGGUCUAUGUAUGAAUGUAGAUGAAGAAUCUGGGACAGCAGGGUAAAUCAGGCCCGGGGCUUUGGGGGGCUCAUUAUGUUUGGACUGGGUGAGGAUUCUUUUGGAUCAAAAGAGUCACCGUUCCCAGCAGGCAAUUACAAGAAAAAGCCCUCGCUCACUGACCCCAAUACUGUAGCUGACGAUCGGAGACUGUUAGCUACAUUGUAAGCACUGUAUCCAUGUGGGCCCUAAGAAUUAACUUGUAAUCUUCCUCAAGCCUUCUUUAAAUGAAUUGCAUCUGCACGUAAAAGAGAAAAAAAAAGUGGAUGAUACCAUUCUGAAAGAGGAUAGGCUCAUUGAAACCAUGUCUAAUGGAUCGAAGCACAGAAAGCAUCCAUAAGAAUGGACAAAGAAUAUAUCUGUCUGGAAGCCCAGCAGAUGUGGAGUAACCUGUGUAAAGCUUGCAGUCAUUGGGGCCUUUUGAUGCAGGAGAGCCAUAAUUGCUCAUCUUCCAUGGAAGGGCAUGCGAAUGAGAGAGAGAGAGAGAGAGAGAGACAGUGGUGCUAUACUUUGUUUACAGCUGGCAAUCAAAAUGUCCUUGGUACCCUGCAUCUCUUAACAAGGAAGUGGAAUAUCCAUUGUGGGGCUUAAUUGAGGUCAAUAAAUGAUGACUGGAAGUGUUCCCAGAUUUUCUGACAAUGCCCUGGAGGAGAAGGAAUGUCCUAUUUCUAUCAAAUGAGAUAACAAUGCAUUACUACACUGCAUGUAAGAUAUGCUCUGACAGAGUGCGUCAACGCCAAAUGUUUGCCCUGUAGGAUGUGAAAUAAGACUAGAGAGUUCAAUGACCUAUUCUAGGCUAAAAUUUCCAUACAAAGUUUGCUCUCAUUACCAGAAGAACCUUGUAGUAUCUUAUUGUAGCAGCAACAAAACAGAUUACUAACAAAAUGAUUUCACAUUCCUUUCAUCUGAUUGCAACAGCCUCAGGGGCUCUCCUUCUGCUACUCACAUAAACUCUGCUGUUGCUCUUAAUGUUAAUGUCCUUGUUUGCAGUUACCUGCUACUGAUUCAUUCCACCCAACAAUCUAUUCAAAUCCUACACAUAGAGGUGUGUGAUAGUUGUUUCAAUGAUGGAACUUAUGGAUUGCCUUCUCUCCCAGAGUAAAAGUUGACAGUUUGGGGCCCACAACUCAUCAGCAAUAUGUAAAUGAGCUCUGAGCCUCACCUGGCUUUUUGCCCCCCGAGAACAAGAGUGGGUAUGCACCUCCUUCCACUCUCUGCCAACAAUGACCAGUCUUUGUUUAUUGUCCAAUUUCAUGAAAAACACCUCUAUGUUGCAUCUAUCAGUUGUACAAAAAGAGUGCUUCCUUGGGCCCACUCUCCUGAACAAUAAGGGAGUUACAUGCUGAAGACUGAUGGAUAAUGCUAAUUCUUAUUUUUUAAUUCUCCUCAUAAUUGCUACGAGUAAUCAUGAUCCCUUGUUCAUCAGCAGCAAGUAGGCCCACGUCUUAGAAUAGUGGCACACAGGUCCCAACUCUCCUUCUGCUACUGGACCAGCAUCAUGGGUCCCCUCAGCCAUUUUAAUGUCGAGGACUGGACAUUAGAGUGUCUGGAAAGGAAAUCUAGCUGGAUAACCUUUGAUGAGCAGAAUAACUCCUUUAACACUGUGUUAAUUAAUGAAUGGAUACUAUUGAAUAAAUGUGUAACUGUUACAAAGCUAAAUAGAUAUUAUUUGACGUUAUUUACCAAAAUAAACUUUAACAUUUCAACACAUUAAGUAAAGCAGAAAUUGUUACAUCAGAUUCAUUUUAUUGGGUUGAUUGUACUUUGUUUUUGCAAAGUGUUUCAGGAUUUUUGGAGGGCUUAUGAUGCGCUGUCUCAUAAGAUCUCUCACAGUAUUUUACUAAACAUGGGACAACG